AGGACGAACGCUGGCGGCGUGCUUAACACAUGCAAGUCGAACGGAAAGGUCUCUUCGGAGAUACUCGAGUGGCGAACGGGUGAGUAACACGUGGGUAAUCUGCCCUGCACUUCGGGAUAAGCCUGGGAAACUGGGUCUAAUACCGAAUAGGACCAUAAGGCGCAUGCCUAUUGGUGGAAAGCUUUUGCGGUGUGGGAUGGGCCCGCGGCCUAUCAGCUUGUUGGUGGGGUGACGGCCUACCAAGGCGACGACGGGUAGCCGGCCUGAGAGGGCGACCGGCCACACUGGGACUGAGACACGGCCCAGACUCCUACGGGAGGCAGCAGUGGGGAAUAUUGCGCAAUGGGCGAAAGCCUGACGCAGCGACGCCGCGUGGGGGAUGAAGGCCUUCGGGUUGUAACCCUUUCAGCAGGGACGAAGCGAAAGUGACGGUACCUGCAGAAGAAGCGCCGGCUAACUACGUGCCAGCAGCCGC
rnacentral:rRNA from 1 species